rnacentral:rRNA from 1 species
UUAAGCGACUAAGCGUACACGGUGGAUGCCCUGGCAGUCAGAGGCGAUGAAGGACGUGCUAAUCUGCGAUAAGCGUCGGUAAGGUGAUAUGAACCGUUAUAACCGGCGAUUUCCGAAUGGGGAAACCCAGUGUGUUUCGACACACUAUCAUUAACUGAAUCCAUAGGUUAAUGAGGCGAACCGGGGGAACUGAAACAUCUAAGUACCCCGAGGAAAAGAAAUCAACCGAGAUUCCCCCAGUAGCGGCGAGCGAACGGGGAGCAGCCCAGAGCCUGAAUCAGUAUGUGUGUUAGUGGAAGCGUCUGGAAAGGCGCGCGAUACAGGGUGACAGCCCCGUACACAAAAAUGCACAUAUUGUGAGCUCGAUGAGUAGGGCGGGACACGUGGUAUCCUGUCUGAAUAUGGGGGGACCAUCCUCCAAGGCUAAAUACUCCUGACUGACCGAUAGUGAACCAGUACCGUGAGGGAAAGGCGAAAAGAACCCCGGCGAGGGGAGUGAAAAAGAACCUGAAACCGUGUACGUACAAGCAGUGGGAGCACGCUUAGGCGUGUGACUGCGUACCUUUUGUAUAAUGGGUCAGCGACUUAUAUUCUGUAGCAAGGUUAACCGAAUAGGGGAGCCGAAGGGAAACCGAGUCUUAACUGGGCGUUAAGUUGCAGGGUAUAGACCCGAAACCCGGUGAUCUAGCCAUGGGCAGGUUGAAGGUUGGGUAACACUAACUGGAGGACCGAACCGACUAAUGUUGAAAAAUUAGCGGAUGACUUGUGGCUGGGGGUGAAAGGCCAAUCAAACCGGGAGAUAGCUGGUUCUCCCCGAAAGCUAUUUAGGUAGCGCCUCGUGAAUUCAUCUCCGGGGGUAGAGCACUGUUUCGGCAAGGGGGUCAUCCCGACUUACCAACCCGAUGCAAACUGCGAAUACCGGAGAAUGUUAUCACGGGAGACACACGGCGGGUGCUAACGUCCGUCGUGAAGAGGGAAACAACCCAGACCGCCAGCUAAGGUCCCAAAGUCAUGGUUAAGUGGGAAACGAUGUGGGAAGGCCCAGACAGCCAGGAUGUUGGCUUAGAAGCAGCCAUCAUUUAAAGAAAGCGUAAUAGCUCACUGGUCGAGUCGGCCUGCGCGGAAGAUGUAACGGGGCUAAACCAUGCACCGAAGCUGCGGCAGCGACGCUUAUGCGUUGUUGGGUAGGGGAGCGUUCUGUAAGCCUGUGAAGGUGUGCUGUGAGGCAUGCUGGAGGUAUCAGAAGUGCGAAUGCUGACAUAAGUAACGAUAAAGCGGGUGAAAAGCCCGCUCGCCGGAAGACCAAGGGUUCCUGUCCAACGUUAAUCGGGGCAGGGUGAGUCGACCCCUAAGGCGAGGCCGAAAGGCGUAGUCGAUGGGAAACAGGUUAAUAUUCCUGUACUUGGUGUUACUGCGAAGGGGGGACGGAGAAGGCUAUGUUGGCCGGGCGACGGUUGUCCCGGUUUAAGCGUGUAGGCUGGUUUUCCAGGCAAAUCCGGAAAAUCAAGGCUGAGGCGUGAUGACGAGGCACUACGGUGCUGAAGCAACAAAUGCCCUGCUUCCAGGAAAAGCCUCUAAGCAUCAGGUAACAUCAAAUCGUACCCCAAACCGACACAGGUGGUCAGGUAGAGAAUACCAAGGCGCUUGAGAGAACUCGGGUGAAGGAACUAGGCAAAAUGGUGCCGUAACUUCGGGAGAAGGCACGCUGAUAUGUAGGUGAAGUCCCUCGCGGAUGGAGCUGAAAUCAGUCGAAGAUACCAGCUGGCUGCAACUGUUUAUUAAAAACACAGCACUGUGCAAACACGAAAGUGGACGUAUACGGUGUGACGCCUGCCCGGUGCCGGAAGGUUAAUUGAUGGGGUUAGCCGCAAGGCGAAGCUCUUGAUCGAAGCCCCGGUAAACGGCGGCCGUAACUAUAACGGUCCUAAGGUAGCGAAAUUCCUUGUCGGGUAAGUUCCGACCUGCACGAAUGGCGUAAUGAUGGCCAGGCUGUCUCCACCCGAGACUCAGUGAAAUUGAACUCGCUGUGAAGAUGCAGUGUACCCGCGGCAAGACGGAAAGACCCCGUGAACCUUUACUAUAGCUUGACACUGAACAUUGAGCCUUGAUGUGUAGGAUAGGUGGGAGGCUUAGAAGUGUGGACGCCAGUCUGCAUGGAGCCGACCUUGAAAUACCACCCUUUAAUGUUUGAUGUUCUAACGUUGACCCGUAAUCCGGGUUGCGGACAGUGUCUGGUGGGUAGUUUGACUGGGGCGGUCUCCUCCUAAAGAGUAACGGAGGAGCACGAAGGUUGGCUAAUCCUGGUCGGACAUCAGGAGGUUAGUGCAAUGGCAUAAGCCAGCUUGACUGCGAGCGUGACGGCGCGAGCAGGUGCGAAAGCAGGUCAUAGUGAUCCGGUGGUUCUGAAUGGAAGGGCCAUCGCUCAACGGAUAAAAGGUACUCCGGGGAUAACAGGCUGAUACCGCCCAAGAGUUCAUAUCGACGGCGGUGUUUGGCACCUCGAUGUCGGCUCAUCACAUCCUGGGGCUGAAGUAGGUCCCAAGGGUAUGGCUGUUCGCCAUUUAAAGUGGUACGCGAGCUGGGUUUAGAACGUCGUGAGACAGUUCGGUCCCUAUCUGCCGUGGGCGCUGGAGAACUGAGGGGGGCUGCUCCUAGUACGAGAGGACCGGAGUGGACGCAUCACUGGUGUUCGGGUUGUCAUGCCAAUGGCACUGCCCGGUAGCUAAAUGCGGAAGAGAUAAGUGCUGAAAGCAUCUAAGCACGAAACUUGCCCCGAGAUGAGUUCUCCCUGACUCCUUGAGAGUCCUGAAGGAACGUUGAAGACGACGACGUUGAUAGGCCGGGUGUGUAAGCGCAGCGAUGCGUUGAGCUAACCGGUACUAAUGAACCGUGAGGCUUAACCUU